GUGCCGGUAGUCGGCCGGGGCCUGCGCCGGGUCGCCGGUGCCGGCCCCCUGCGGGGUGCCCAGCAGCGGCACGCCCAGGUCGUGCCCGGCCAGC
rnacentral:tRNA from 1 species